CGAUGAUCGAAAAAAAGUAUCUUGCACGUUAUUUUCAUCAUCUUGUCUGAAACACUCUGAAUAAUGAGCUUCAAGGCGAAAACAAGGCAUGUGAAAUACUAAUAACAUACACUUCUUUUUUUAUACGUUGUAUGGACAAACCCAUAAAUCCCUCAACAAAAAUUGCUUGAUUCAUGUCAUAUCAAAUAAAUUACAGCGCGGA
rnacentral:lncRNA from 1 species